AGAGUUUUCGAUCCUGGCUCAGAUGAACGCUGGCGGCGUAGCCUAACACAUGCAAGUCGAGCGAAACAAUUAAGAGGAAGUUUUCGGAUGGAAUGUUAAUUGACUGAGCGGGCGGACGGGUGAGUAACGCGUGGGUAACCUGCCUCAUACAGGGGGAUAACAGUUAGAAAUGACUGCUAAUACCGCAUAAGCACACAGAACCGCAUGGUUCGGGGUGAAAAGCCGAGACGGUAUGAGAUGGACCCGCGUCUGAUUAGCUAGUUGAGGGGUAACGGCCCACCAAGGCAACGAUCAGUAGCCGACCUGAGAGGGUGACCGGCCACAUUGGGACUGAGACACGGCCCAAACUCCUACGGGAGGCAGCAUGGGGGAUAUUGCACAAUGGGGGAAACCCUGAUGCAGCGACGCCGCGUGAGUGAAGAAGUAUUUCGGUAUGUAAAGCUCUAUCAGCAGGGAAGAAAAAAGACGGUACCUGACUAAGAAGCCCCGGCUAACUACGUG
rnacentral:rRNA from 1 species